rnacentral:rRNA from 1 species
AGUCCCGCGCCGUGGGCGCGAAGCCGGGUGAGCUAUCCCUGGGCAGGCUGAAGCGGGGGUAAGACCCCGUGGAGGGCCGAACGCACGUCGGUUGAAAACGGCGGCGAUGACCUGGGGAUAGGGGUGAAAGGCCAAUCAAACCCGGAGAUAUCUCGUUCUCCCCGAAAUAGCUUUAGGGCUAGCGUCGGGGGUUCACCGCAGGAGGUAGAGCACCGGACAGGUGAGGGGGCUUCGCCGCCUACCGAUCCCGACCGAACUCCGAAUGCCUGCGGCCCACACCCCGGCAGUCAGAGCAUGUGGGCUAAGCUGUGUGCUCGAGAGGGGAACAGCCCAGACCGCCCGCCAAGGCCCCUAAUUCCAGGUUGAGUGGCAAAGGAUGUCCGUCUGCGCAGACAGCCAGGAGGUUGGCUUAGAAGCAGCCACCCCUUCAAAGAGUGCGUAACAGCUCACUGGCCGAGUGGACGGGCGCCGACAAUACACGGGGCUAAACCUGGAGCCGAAGCGGCGGAUUCGGAGCGUAUGCUCCGUCUGGUAGGGGAGCGUCCCCGGUGGGGCGAAGCGGAGGGGCGACCCUCCGUGGACCGCCGGGGAGCGAGGAUGCUGGCAUGAGUAGCGAGAGACGCGAGGGUAACGCGUCCGCCGUGAACCCGAGGUUUCCUGGGCGAGGCUAAUCCCCCCAGGGUCAGUCGGGGGCUAAGGCGAGGCCGGCAGGCGUAGCCGAAGCGCAGCAGGCAGACAUUCCUGCACCGCAGAUGAGCGCUAUCGACCGAUGCGGCGACGGAUGGGGGUGGCUCGGCGGGGUUCUGGACGUCCCCGUGAUGGAGCGCGGCCCGGCAGGGAGUGAAGUACCCCUGCCACGAGGGUUAGGCUCCGGACGAAGCGACUGAGCGAAGCGAGUGAGCCCGUGGUCCCUAGAAAAACCGCUAGGCAGCGAUUCUGCGCCCGUACCGCAAACCGACACAGGUGGGUGGGUAGAACAUACCGAGGCGAUCGGGUCAACCAUGGUCAAGGAACUCGGCACAAUGGCCCCGUAACCUAGGGAGAAGGGGUGCCGGCGCGUACGUGAAGGGGCUCGCCCCCGGAGCGGAGGCCGGCCGCAGUGAAGAGGCCCAAGCGACUGUUUACCAAAAACACAGGACUCUGCAGAAGCCGCAAGGCGACGUAUAGGGUCUGACGCCUGCCCGGUGCCGGAAGGUCACGGGGAGGGGUUAGCUUACGCGAAGCCCCGAACCCAAGCCCCGGUAAACGGCGGCCGUAACUAUAACGGUCCUAAGGUAGCGAAAUUCCUUGUCGGGUAAGUUCCGACCUGCACGAAAGGCGCAACGACUUGGGCGCUGUCUCGACCGUGGACCCGGUGAAAUUGCACUGGUCGUGAAGAUGCGACCUACCCGCGGGAGGACGGAAAGACCCCGUGAACCUUCACUGCAGCUUGGCAUUGGCCGCUGCUCGGGAGUGUAGAGGAUAGGCGGGAGGCUGCGAUGCCGGGGCGCCAGCCCCGGCGGAGCCGACCUUGGAAUACCGCCCUCUCCCGUGCGGCGUCCUAACCCCCGGCCGUGAGCCGGCGGGGGGACCGUGCCAGGCGGGCAGUUUGACUGGGGCGGUCGCCUCCCAAAGGGUAACGGAGGCGCGCGAAGGUCCGCUCGGGACGGUCGGCAACCGUCCUCAAUGAGUGCAAGAGCGUAAGCGGGCUUGACUGCGAGACCCACGAGUCGAGCAGGUGCGAAAGCAGGCUCUAGUGAUCCGGCGGCUCCGCGUGGGCGGGCCGUCGCUCAACGGAUAAAAGGUACUCCGGGGAUAACAGGCUGAUCUUGCCCAAGAGUCCACAUCGACGGCAAGGUUUGGCACCUCGAUGUCGGCUCAUCGCAUCCUGGGGCCGGAGCAGGUCCCAAGGGUACGGCUGUUCGCCGUUUAAAGCGGUACGCGAGCUGGGUUCAGAACGUCGUGAGACAGUUCGGUCCCUAUCCCCCGCGGGCGCAGGAGAAUCGAGGGAGGCUGCCCCUAGUACGAGAGGACCGGGGUGGACGGACCUCCGGUGCACCGGUUGUCGACCAACGGCAUUGCCGGGUAGCCGCGUCCGGCGCGGAUAACCGCUGAAGGCAUCUAAGCGGGAAGCCGUUCCCGAGAUCAGUUCUCCUUCCGGUAAGGGCCGGGGUAGAACACCCCGUCGACAGGCCGCAGGUGCAAGGGUCGCGAGGCCCUCAGCCGAGCGGUGCUGAUCGCCCGAGCUCUUACCCC